AGAGGAAUUCUCAAGAAUAUGAAUUUUCAUCACCAAGAGCUUGAAGGUUUCAACUUAAUCGAGGUAAUGUGGGGAGAUUAUUUCAUGAUGGAUGUUUAAGCUUAGGGAUAGUGGGGAUUUCCUUUGCCCCUUUUCUCGUUUCUCUUGUAUGAUGUUAUUGAUGAAUUACGUGUGCAAAACCUCCAUGAUUAUGUUAAUGAUAUAUUAUGAUUGUGUAUUAUUGAUACUGAUUUCAUUGAUCUUGAUGUGAAAUUCGUGUAAAUCUAUGUUAAGAAUUGAGUUGUUGAUGUUCAUAUGCUAUAUGAUGAAUUGAUGAAGAAAACAUGAAUAUUUGAUGUUAUGUAUAUAUUAGAUUGAUAUUCUUUAAUGUGAAAUCUAUUAUUUAUAUGUGUAAAUCGAAUUUUGGAUUUUAUGUGGCAUGAUUUUGGAGAAAAAUUGGAGGUGUGGAUUUGUUUCCAUGGAGAAAACGCAUAAAACAAAUUUCUUUUGCGGUGACGGGCGUCACUUGCGUAACGGUCCAACCGUCAUUGCAUCGAGGACGAAGAUGCUACACCGCCAGUAGUGAUGGUCAUCACACUCAUGACGGAAGAACCGUCAGCGCCCUGUAACUGACGUUGUUCCCCAUGACCAUCAUCGAUGACAAGUGAGCUUUCUUAAGGGCAACAACCGUAAGGGUCGAGACGGUCAGACCGUCAGCCAUGUUCAUUGGCCGAUUUGUGAUGUUUUGACCGAUUUUUUACAGAGGCUCUGAUUCCCCGACUUAAUUCAUUAUGUUAAGUGAUUAAUUAUUGAGAAAAUGGUUAUAAUUGAUUCUUUUUAUUUAAUUGAUACUCACCUCGCGGCUAGGUCGUGUUCAAGGUUGGUGGUUUUAGGUUUAAGAUGAUCCAAUGUUUAUCCCUAACAGGUGUCGCUACCGGGAUUUCACGAUAACGGAAUCGGGACUAAAGAGAUGCCAAAGAGAGGCAACGUUAGAAGAGUCGCCACCGAAUUUUAUUUAGUUUACCUCUAUCGGAGAGGAAAGGGGAAAUAGUCGAUAAAACCCUCGGAAAAGAGACGCGCACGGGAAGCACUAAAAGAGAAUAAGGAAUCGGUCUCGCAACCGAGAUUUGGGUUCGGAAGUCGGUUACGUAAGGGAAAGGUAUUAGCACCCCUUAUGUCCAUGGUACUCCAUGGGAACCAUUUGGGUUGUUUUACAUACAUGGGAUUUAUCUAUUAUUGUUUUAUUUUCGAAAGAAUGUGUGAGAGAAAGGGAUGUUUUUGUUAUUAUAGUGCUCGCCAAGGAUUUGGGCCCUUGUGCCUACGUAUCACUUAUUCGGGGAUGAGGAAUCAGAGCUUCGUAGUUCGGAGUAGAAAAAAUUUGUGUAUUGGUUGAUUUUACCUUUGAGAAAAGGGUUUUCAGGAUGAUGCCCUAAGGCACAAAAAUGAGUUUGAUGAGUUGUAUUGUUUUUUACCUUGAAUAAGAGUUUUAUGAAAGAAUGUUUAUGAUUAUUUUGUACUAAAGUCUAUGGGCGGAGGUGAUUAUUCUAGACAACAAGCCAAGCGUCUUGCGUCCAAAAUAAUCAGAGUAAGGGUAGGAAUGCUCAAUUCUCUCUCAUUCUCCACCACUUAAGGCUCGUGGCGCACAAUAAUAAUCAUUAUUAUUAAGUGUUUUGAAUUUGAUUAUAAAAAUGCCACUUGACGUUAAAUCAAGGGUUUGUUUUAUUUAAUUAUGAAAUUUGGCUUAUGCAACAUGAAUGUAAAGUAACCAACAAGAACUUAAAGGGUCUCAUUGUAAGGUAGCCCAAGAGAAAGUCUUUUGUGUGCAAAAGUGACCUAAGUUAAACAAAGGAUAAUGGUCUUACAAACAUGUCCCCCUAAGGUGGUGCCAUGAUGCCAUUCUUACAAUAUGCAUGUAAGUUACGGAUGAAAAUCCAAGUGUUUACAAAGUAUCACAAAGAGUAAAGGAAGGCUUCCAAGCAAAGGUCCUAAGAUGAAAUCCUUUAAGUCCAAGUUGGUUAAGAAUGGAGUGAAUAUUUUUGUUCUUUAUCAUUUUAUCAUGUUUUUUGUUAUUUUUAAUGUAUGAUGACAAUAAGAUAAAUAACAAGUAAAUAAACAUGCAUGAUGAGUUUGUAUAAUGAUAAUGAUAAUGAGUACUUGAAUGUAAAUUACAAGGUAAUGACAUAAAAGUAAAUCACAAGAUAAAGGAUGGUAAUAUCACAAUAAUAAUGGUUAGUGAAUGUAAAUGAACAAUAAAAUAAAUUGCAAGGAAGUAAAGUGCAAUAAUGUAAAUGUUAGAAGUUAGUGGUUAAUGGUUAGUAACAAUAAAAUAAAUUGCAAGGAAUUAAAGUGCAAUAAUAUAAAUGUUAGUAGUUAGUAGUUAGUAGAAUAAUAAUAAGCAAAUGGAUUAGCAAGUCAAUAUAGAGAAUAUGGUUUCAUCUAUGCAUCAAAUGACUCAAAUAUGCGUGAAAUAGAGGCAAUUUAUCAAUGCCUCAAAGUAUCAUGAAUGAUCUAUUGAUCAACCAUUAAUAGGUUUGAAACAUUGAAGAUUUAAUCAACUCUAAACAACCAUGGCCAUGAUCUAAUAAAACUCAUCAACCAAAUAAAUGUAACAACAAGUCAACAAUAAAUAUUAAAUGAUAACAAGAAAUAAGGUUUGAUUGAAAAUGGUGGAUAAAAAAUAGUAAGAGCAAAAAAAUCCCCAAAAGGGUGUAAAUCCAACAAAAACCACUUGUCUCAAAGACUCAAAUCUCUCUCAAAAUACAACCCAAGAGUAAAAAUCCAUUUUCAAACACAAAACAAAACCAAAAAUGUUAAGGAGUUUGAGUCCAAAAUAUUACCAAGAUGGUGGUGUCAAAACUAGGUUAUUGUUGUGUUUGGGUUUGAGAAUGAAGCAAAAAGCUUGGAAGAGGGUGGUUAUGGUUGUUGUGGUAGAAAAAUGGAAGGGAAGGAAGUUGUAUGUUUAUGUGGUGGUGGUGAAUGAUUAUGUAAGUGAAGAUUACAAGUUUGCUACUUUUGUUGUGUGGAGAUGGUGAAUUUUUUACAUGGUGGUUGGGUGGUUCAAAGAAGAAAAUAGGGUUUGGAUGAGUUAGGGUUUAGGUUGAAAAGAGGGAGUUUGAAUGUGAUUUGGGCAGAGGUUUUGUGGCUUUCAAGCUUGAAAAAUGAGUGGGGAUAGUGCUCUAUUAUAGAGGAAGCAAAGGGGUUGAAGUGGGUGAACCAAAAGGUCCUUUGGGUAAAAAACAGAGUCAUUUCUGCUGCCUGCGCAGGUGUAAUCGGUUACCCUGAUUAGGGUAAUCGGUUACACAGUCCCAAAAUGGCCAAAAAAUCAGUUUUUGGUCUGGGUAAUCAGUUACCCUGAUUAGGGUAACCGGUUACCCAAUUUAUUUAUUUUUUUGAAAUAAUGAAUGUACGCAUGUGCAGUAGGGUCAUGGAUUAGAUGAAAAUUGUAUCGGGGUAGGGUGAAUUUUGGGGUAUGACAACAGGCAGUGAUUGAUGUGCAUUAUGUUUCGGUUCAAAGAACCAAUGUAUGAUAUGUUUUAGGUUUGAAAGGACCAGUAUUAGCCUUAACCAACAAAGUUGAUAAUUGGUGUAAGAGGCUCAGAUAAAGAUUAUCUGCAUUUGUUUGAUCAUGUAUCAUGUAUAUCGAAGAUUAGCUUAAGACUUUGGUCCAGUGUUUAGGACUUCGGUUCAAUGUGAAGGAUCGCUCGGUAAAAUAACUAUGAUAUCCGGACUUAGGUCCAUUGUUUAGGACU
rnacentral:lncRNA from 1 species